ACAACUCUAAACCUCAAUACUCAUCAUUAUAUCACAUUACAUUAUUUUCAUGUCCACAUCUAGCUAUUACACAAAACAUGACUUCUUUACUCUUGCUGACUUCCUGGUCUAUCCCGUACCUGCAAACCUGGGGGUUAAGGGAAAGGGGUGAGCUACUAGAAUCCAGUAAGCAGAACAGAUAAACAAUAAUAAUAAAACAUGCUGUUAUGGAAUGCGUCACAGCACAAACAAUUCACAUCACGGAUGGAUAUGACCUCCAAAACUCCCUCUGUCUGUGCC
rnacentral:lncRNA from 1 species